rnacentral:tRNA from 1 species
AGUUAAUAAGUCAUAGAUAGACAUAUAUUUUGAAAAUAUAAAAAGAAAGUUAAAUUCUUUCAUUAACUU